AAAGAUAAACCCUUUCUCUUUUCCAAGUGCUGAAACUGGGUUUCUUCACAUAAGUGGUGCUGCAUGAUUUAUUCCAGUUCUCCAUACACUUACCUCCCAUGGACAUUUAACCAUAUAGAGAGAAAAAGCACUCCUCUAGCCAGGUCCCUGAGCUGAGGAGCUUCAGUUCCUCUUCAUAAUAGAAGACACAAAACAUAAGAGGCCUGUACUUUCUGCAAAAUGCAGCUUUCUUCAGCUGCAUUUCAAACUUCUCCAUCUUUAUGAAUUAGACUAAUGUUCAUAAAUGGAGGAGCAGUUUAAUUCCUUUGUCGGCUUAAGUGGUUUAAAUAGGAACCUCCUCUCUCCCUGGAAAGUGCCACAACCAACACAUAUCUAAGCUACACAGGAUGGGGCUCCCUUUUUAAUUCAAGCUGUGUGAUAGAUAUGAGGUUCAAGCUUCGCUGGGCUCUGCUUUGUAAUCCAGAACAGGGGUUCCCCAAGAGGAGGAAGCAGGAAAACUGGAAGAAAUCCACAGCUGCUGGAGCUACUGAACUCACCUGGGGUUCAUCUCAGAUGCUGCUUGCUAGGCUGUUGUUUCUUGCGGCUAUGGCUCCAUCUACUCUACCAGUGUCAUGCACAUCCACCCUUUCUGACAGGGACAGAUUUCUCACUGCUGACAUCUCUCUCUGCACUGCUGCCUCUACCAUUCUAAGCAGUUCCCUAGAAUGAAAAAUGUGCUGAAAAGGAAGAUGUUCACAGGGAAACAACAAUGACAAAAAAUUGCCAAGUACUAGUUAGUGGGAGAGCAUUCACUCAAGCUUCACAGUGACUUCCUCAGUAUGUUAUUCAAGUAAAGAGAAAGAAAACUU